rnacentral:rRNA from 1 species
AGAGUUUGAUCAUGGCUCAGGAUGAACGCUGGCGGCGUGCUUAACACAUGCAAGUCGAACGAAGAUGCCGGAGUGCUUGCACUUUGGCAGACUGAGUGGCGGACGGGUGAGUAACGCGUGGGUAACCUGCCUUAUACAGGGGGAUAACAGUUGGAAACGACUGCUAAUACCGCAUAAGCGCACGGUAUCGCAUGAUACAGUGUGAAAAACUCCGGUGGUAUAAGAUGGACCCGCGUCUGAUUAGCUUGUUGGUGAGGUAACGGCCCACAAGGCGACGAUCAGUAGCCGGCCUGAGAGGGUNAACGGCCACAUUGGGACUGAGACGCGGUCCAAACUCCUACGGGAGCA